rnacentral:rRNA from 1 species
GUGGGGAAUAUUGCACAAUGGGGGAAACCCUGAUGCAGCGACGCCGCGCGAGCGAUGAAGUAUUUCGGUAUGUAAAGCUCUAUCAGCAGGGAAGAAAAUGACGGUACCUGACUAAGAAGCCCCGGCUAACUACGUGCCAGCAGCCGCGGUAAUACGUAGGGGGCAAGCGUUAUCCGGAUUUACUGGGUGUAAAGGGAGCGUAGACGGCAUGGCAAGCCAGAUGUGAAAGCCCGAGGCUCAACCCCGGGACUGCAUUUGGAACUGUCAGGCUAGAGUGUCGGAGAGGAAAGCGGAAUUCCUAGUGUAGCGGUGAAAUGCGUAGAUAUUAGGAAGAACACCAGUGGCGAAGGCGGCUUUCUGACGAUGACUGACGUUGAGGCUCGAAAGCGUGGGGAGCAAACAGGAUUAGAUACCCGUGUAGUCC